ensembl:lncRNA
CACACAUGAUGACCAGCCAUUGAUGUUCACCUGAAGGGAAUUCCCAGAGCUGAGGCUGGAGAAGAUAUUCUGCAGGAUCCUGCUGCUCAUCAUCCUCACCUCAUGUGUCUCUGGAUCAUUUGUAGUCAAUGUGACACAGACCUCCUAUCAGGCAGAGGAGAACCACAACAUCACACUGGAGUGGACGUUCACCACCAAACCUGACAGAUCCUCCAAAACUCUCAACAUCCUCUGUGAACUCUUCAUCAGUCAUAAAUCCUCAGUCCUGUAUCAUGUUCAUGAAGGUGUUGAGGUGUCAGAGUCUCAGGAUGCAAAGUUUUCAGGACGAGUCCAGAGUGACAAAGACGCCCUCAGAGAAGGACGAAUCAGACUUCAACUGUCCAGACUCAGGACUGAUGACUCGGGUCUGUACCUGUGUGAGGUCAACACUGAUUAUGGCUUCAGUGUUGGAAGAUGUCGACUUAACGUCACUGCUGUUAGAGAUUGUCCUCAACCUGAGACAUCAAACACAGAAAGUCAAGGAAGGAUCGGAGUUUACUGUGGACUGAUAGCAGCCUUGCUGCUUCUCUGCUGCUUUUCAUUCAUUUACUGCCUGCACAAAAAGGAAGAUUAGUUCUGCAGCAAAAUGUACAGCUCAGCAAAUGAAUCACCAAAAAUAAUUAGAUCAGCAGUGAAAAUGAUAAUACUGGAGUUUAGUUUAAUAACACAGUGCCACAAAAUAAUAGUGUAAUAAUUUAAUUUUACAGGCUUAGGUAUUCAUUGCCACUCGGGCGGUUAAUUUCUUCAUGCCUAAAUUCAACAACCUGCAUGUGUAUAACUCAGGAGCUAGGCAUACAAAGAAAUUCUUGCACACGUCAGUGUCUGCAUUGCGCCUGCUGUUGGAGUUUUACGCUCGCAAUAGAAUCUUGUUUACUCUAAUCAACAGACUUUUGACUGUCUGGAGGGCAGAGCCCAAAGAAACAACACUGUUCUUUUGUUUUUUAAACACUCUGGUAUUGACAAGAACCAUAUGAUUUUCCCAACAAAUAAAACAAUAUGAACAGUAGAAUUUACAUGUCAACACAAAAAUGUUCAGUUAUGCAUGAACUAGAGUAUAAUAAUCACUUUCAUCUUAAAAAAGAAUAUUUAAUAAAUGACUGACAUUUUCCUGCUUUUUAG